ensembl:lincRNA
GCGGCUGGUUCGGGCCGAACGGGCGGCGGCGACUGAAAUGGAGGCGGUGGCGGCGGAGGGGUAAAUGGUGGCGUCUGUCCUCCUAAGAGUGUCGGUGCCGCGGUGGAGCGGGGCGGCGUCCCAUCUGCGCCUACCACGUGGAGCGGGAGAAGGAGCGGGACCCCGAGCACUGGACUUUCUGCGACCUGGGGCCCUGGGUGAAGUGCUUCGCCGCUCUUGCCUCCAGGGGUGAUGGGCAUCAUCGGUCCAGGGAAGGAAGCAAAGCAAAUGGAGAAUGGCAUGCUGGUGAUGGACAGUGCAGGGAAGCAACUACAGAGGUCAAGCUUUCCAUGUACUGGGACUACAUGAAGGCCAUCGGCCUCUUCUUCUCCUUUCUCGGCUUCUUCCUUUUCACAUGUAACCAUGUGGCUGCGCUGGCUGCCAACUACUGGCUCAGCCUCUGGACUGAUGACCCCAUUGUCACGGGACCCAGGAGCACACGAAAGUCCUGCUGAGCGUCUGUGGAUCCCUGGGCAUUUUGCAAGGUGGGUGCCUCUGUCUCCCACCCUGCCCGAUGUGGAACCCUGUGGUGGCUUUGUCUAAUUACAGAAUUGGAUCCUUAGAGUCCUCAGAGUUUUGCGGGUCCCCAAACCAAGAGGAAAGCUAGCUGUCAGCUAGUAGACACUCAGAUAUUUGUAGAGUGAAUGUUUGAGUGCUUUGUUCAUGAGGCUUUUGGUGGUAGAUGGGAGGAGUGCUCCAGUGUGCCCAUUUUACAGAUGAGGACAGUUGGGAACAGAGACCACUGGAAGUACUGAGAGUUGGGAGGGCCCCCCUACCCUGUUUGCUCUGUCAGGGUGGCAGAGCUUCCGUGAGGUCUCACUUGUGGACUGUGGCCUGCUGGGCAUAGGUAGAAAUGGUUCAUCCUAGUAAUUCCCAAUUAUGGGCAGGAAUGUUUGACAAUACCUGGAGUUGCUUUUGGUUGUCACAAAAUUGAGAAACCCUGCUGUUGGCCAGGCAUGGUGGCUCACACCUAGAAUCCUGCACUUUGGGAAGCUGAGGUCAGAGGAUCACUUGAGGCCAGAUGUUUGAGACCAGCCUGGACAACAUAGUGAGACCCUUGCCUCUAGAAAAAAUAGAUGAGUAAAAAAAAAAAAAAAAAUAGAUAAAAUAAUCUAUAGCUACACAUGGUGCUCUGUGCCUGUGGUCUCAGCUGCUUUGGUGGCUGAGGUGAGAGGAUCUUGCUUGAGGCCAGGAGUUUGAGCCUACAGUUCCACCUAUGACUGCACCACUGCACUCCAGCCUGGGUGACAGAGCAAGACCCUGUCUCAAAAAACAAAAACACGAAAACAAAAAAGAAAAGAAACCCUGCUCUGUACCGUUCUGUGUGGUCCUGUGGGAGUCCUCAAACGCAGCAGUGUUGAUUAUAACAGCUGGUGCGGAACUCAUAUAUAUUUGGUACUUGGCUCAGUUCUAAACACUUACACGUGUUUUGGCUUAUUUUAUCCUUGCAGCAGUCCUGCGAGGUAGGAGUUAAUAUUUCCGCUAUUUCGGAGUGUAGAAAUUGAGGUCCAGAGAGGCUGAGUGAGUUGCCCAAAGUCACACAGCUAAUACCUGGUGGCGUUGGCAUUGAACAAGGCAGUCUGACUCAGGAGCUCACGCUGUUAACCACUGUGCUAUGCAGUGUGUGAGCCAAGUUUGUAAAUACACAUGUACAUUCCAUAUGAUAUAUACGCAGUAAAUGGAUAGGCUUGACACAUUCGAGUACUUCUUGUGUGCCAAGCGCAUUGCAAGGUGGGAACUUUACAUGCCACAGUGCUCCGAGGUCAGCAUCAUUUACACUGUACAGAUGAGAAAACUGAGAGAUUCAGUAAUCUGUAGGAGGUCCCAGAGCUGGUAAGUGGCAGAGAUGGGUUUUGGCAGCAUUGGCUCCAGAGCCUGUCAUUGGAGCCCCUGCUUCAUGGGUGUCUUCCUGAUUAAAGAGGCCGAGAUGGAAGCCUCUCUGUUCCUAGGAAGUUGCUGCUCUGGAACGCACACUGCCCUCCUGUGGGUAGUUUGAGAGAAGCACCAGUGUCUCAGGAUCUCCAGGAGAUGGCUUUGGAAAACCCACCGGUAGCAGAGCAGACAUGGAUUCCUUGAGUCUCUCAAUCCCUAACUUCCCCUUUCCUUGCCAUUAGGGCAAAGGACUGUGGCAUACAAACUAUAACUGAGGGAAGGUUGAGAACAGAGAGGGUGUGGUAUUACCUGAACUCACACAGCAACAGUGUCUGUCUAGAGCUCUGCUGUCUGGUGUGAGUAGUCACAAGACACAGGUGUCUAUUUCAACUAUGAAAAUUAAAUAAAGGCUGGGUGCAGUAGCUCAUGCCUGUAAUCCAGCACUUUGGGAGGCCAAGGUGGGUAGAUUGCUUAGUCCAGGGGUUCGAGACCAGCCUGGGCAACAUGGCAAAACCCUGUCUCUGCAAAAAAUACAAACAUUCGCUGGGUGCGGUGGCUCAUGCUUGUAAUUCCAGCACUUUGGGAGGCUGAGGCGGGCGGAUCAUGAGGUCAAGAGAUUGAGACCACCCUGACCAACAUGGUGAAACCCCACGUCUACUAAAAAAUACAAAAAAAUUAGCCUGGCAUGGCGGUGCGUGCCUGUAGUCCCAGCUACUGGGGAGGCUGAGGCAGGAGAAUUGCUUGAAACUGGAAAACGGAAGUUGCAGUGAGCCGGGAUCGUGCCAUUGCACUCCAGCCUGGCGAUACAGCGAGACCGUGUCUCAAAAAAAACAAAAAAACACAAAAAAACAAACAUUCGCUAGGCAUGGUGGCAACUCCUGUAAUCCCUGCUACUCAGGAGGCAUAGGACAUUUCCAUCAUUGCAGAAAAUUAUCUUAGCACUGUUCUAGAGCAGCGAUCCCCGGCCUUUAUGGCACUAGGGACCUCUUUCAUGGAAAGGGUGGGGCAUGGUUUUGGGAUGAAACUGUUCCACCUUAGAUCA